GAUGAACGCUGGCGGCGUGCCUAAUACAGGCAAGUCGAGCGAAUGGAUUAAGAGCUUGCUCUUAUGAAGUUAGCGGCGGACGGGUGAGUAACACGUGGGUAACCUGCCCAUAAGACUGGGAUAACUCCGGGAAACCGGGGCUAAUACCGGAUAACAUUUUGAACCGCAUGGUUCGAAAUUGAAAGGCGGCUUCGGCUGUCACUUAUGGAUGGACCCGCGUCGCAUUAGCUAGUUGGUGAGGUAACGGCUCACCAAGGCAAUGAUGCGUAGCCGACCUGAGAGGGUGAUCGGCCACACUGGGACUGAGACACGGCCCAGACUCCUACGGGAGGCAGCAGUAGGGAAUCUUCCGCAAUGGACGAAAGUCUGACGGAGCAACGCCGCGUGAGUGAUGAAGGCUUUCGGGUCGUAAAACUCUGUUGUUAGGGAAGAACAAGUGCUAGUUGAAUAAGCUGGCACCUUGACGGUACCUAACCAGAAGGCCACGGCUAACUACGUGCCAGCCGCCGCCGUAA
rnacentral:rRNA from 1 species